CAAAGGGCGCACGGUGGAUGCCUUGGGGCAAAGGGCCGAUGAAGGACGCGGUAAGCGGCGAAACGCCUCGGGGAGCCGCAAACAGGCUUUGAUCCGAGGAUCUCCGAAUGGGGUAACCCGGCCGUCGUAAUGGACGGUCACCCACCGCUGAAUCCAUAGGCGGUGUGGAGGGCACCCGGGGAACUGAAACAUCUAAGUACCCGGAGGAAAAGAAAGCAGAUGCGAUUCCCUUAGUAGCGGCGAGCGAACGGGGAACAGCCCAAACCGAUAGGGUGUCCAAGCGGGCAGCGUUGCCCUGUCGGGGUAGUGGGACCACCAGCGAGAUGGCACCGUCUCGCAGGGAGUGACAAAACCGCCCGUUAGCAGAAGUGCCUGGAACGGCACGCCAUAGAGGGUGAUAGCCCCGUACGCGAAAACGGAGUGGUCUCCCGGUGGGAUCCCAAGUAGCACGGAGCACGAGGAACUCUGUGCGAAUCUGCGCCGACCACGGCGUAAGGCUAAAUACCCUUUGCCACCGAUAGCGCACCAGUACCGUGAGGGAAAGGUGAAAAGCACCCCGGGAGGGGAGUGAAAUAGAACCUGAAACCGUGUGCCUACAAGCAGUCGGAGCCCUAUCCAAAGGGUGACGGCGUGCCUUUUGCAGAAUGAGCUGGCGAGUUACCGUGCGCGGCAAGGUUAAGGCACUCAGUGCCGGAGCCGCAGGGAAACCGAGUCCGAAUAGGGCGUUUAGUCGCGUGCGGUAGACCCGAAACCGCGCGAUCUACCCAUGGCCAGGGUGAAGCGGGGGUAAGACCUCGUGGAGGCCCGAACCGGUGUCGGUUGAAGACGGCUCGGAUGAGCUGUGGGUAGUGUGGUGAAAUGCCAAUCGAGCGCGGAGAUAGCUGGUUCUCCCCGAAAUGCAUUUAGGUGCAGCGUUGCGUGUUUUCUGCCGCAGGUAGAGCACUGGAUGGGCUAGGGGCCUCACCAGGUUACCAAACCCAACCAAACUCCGAAUGGCGGCAGAUGAAGCGCGGCAGUGAGACUGCGGGGGAUAAGCUUCGUAGUCAAGAGGGAAACAGCCCAGACCGCCCGCUAAGGUCCCUAAAUGCGAGCUAAGUGUGAAAGGAUGUGGAGUCACAUAGACAACCAGGAGGUUGGCUUAGAAGCAGCCAUCCUUUAAACAGUGCGUAACAGCUGACUGGUCGACGUGGCUCUGCGCCGAUAAUGUAAGGGGGCUCAAGCUCGCUACCGAAGCGACGGGUUCUCCUGAUUACUCAGGAGAGCGGUAGGGGAGCGUUCUGCAUGCGGUGAAGCCAGAGCGUAAGCACUGGUGGAGCGUGCAGAAGUGCGAAUGCCAGCAUGAGUAGCGAGAAGAUGGGUGAGAAUCCCAUCCGCCGAAAGCCUAAGGGUUCUCAAGGAAGGCUCGUCCUCUUGAGGUCAGUCGGGCCUAAGCCGAGGGCAAUUGCCGUAGGCGAUGGACACACGGUUGAUAUUCCGUGACCAGGCAGGCGCGUUUGUACGAUGGGGUGACGCCGUGGAAAGCUCCAAGCGCGGGGUUGGUUGACCGCGUUCCGUAGUUGGGGGUGUGCGGUAGGCAAAUCCGCCGCACGUUAGCUCCUGGCUACGGACGAGCCGCGGCUACGGCCAAGGCGAAGUGGGGCAGACUGCGGACAAGAAAAACCUCUAAGGAGUGCCUGUCCUGCCCGUACCGCAAACCGACACAGGUAGGUGAGUAGAGGAUACUCAGGCGCGCGAGAGAACUCCCGUUAAGGAACUAGGCAAAAUAGCCCCGUAACUUCGGGAGAAGGGGCGCCACCGCAAGGUGGCCGCAGAGAAAUGGCCCAGGCGACUGUUUACCAAAAACACAGCUCUCUGCGAAGCCGAAAGGCGACGUAUAGGGGGUGACACCUGCCCAAUGCCCGUAGGUUAAGGGGAGGGGUUCGGCGCAAGCCAAAGCCUCAAACCGAAGCCCGGGUGAAUGGCGGCCGUAACUAUAGGAGGGACCCUGUAGUUGUAAAAUCUGGCUGUAUGCUGGGAAGUCUGGGGUAUCCCGAGCUACUCGCCGCGUCAGGCGGAUGAGUGACAAUGCGUCGGGUGCAGACUAUCAGCAGGAAAGGCUCCGGUAUGCUGAACGUCAACAAGAUCCCGCCCGACAUCGGAUAUUACCUGGCUGGCUUCGCCGACGGCGAGGGGAGCUUCUACGUAUCCUUUCGACCGCGUAACGACUACCGCCAGCCGUGGAAAGUGUCGCUCUGCUUUAACAUAUCGGAGAAGGACAGAGUGAUCCUUGCUCUGUUCAAACGGCAUCUGCAGUGCGGCACCCUGCGAAGCCGACCCGAUGGCGUGUGGUACUAUGAGGUGAACAACCUGCACGCAAUCCUCACACACGUCAUCCCGUUCUUUGAGCGGUUCGGCUUCCUGUCGGCGCAGAAAAAGCAAGAUUUUGCCGCUUUCAAGAAGAUCGCAAAACUGAUGGAAGAAGAACGGCAUCUGACCGAAGGAGGCAUCCGCGAGAUCUUGCGGAUACGCAAAAAGAUGAACGAUGGCGGCAAGCGACGUUACAGCGACGCUGAAAUCCUCGCCCGAUUUCAGCGCGGAGAAUCCUCAGAGACUAUACGCCAGACUCUCGCCGGUGGCGAGGGAUGAUAUAGUCCGGACUGGCUGGCGACAGGCAGAGUGGGUAACCAAUCCCACCCCCCAGUUUGGGGCGUAACAAAGCGAACGGUCCUAAGGUAGCGAAAUUCCUAGUCGGGUAAGCCUGGACUUGCCCCUCUGCACCGCAAGGUGCAGUGAAAAACCGGCUCAUAUCGGGGAAGCCCUCUCCGUCCGGAAG
rnacentral:rRNA from 1 species